rnacentral:rRNA from 1 species
GACGAACGCUGGCGGUGUGCUUAACACAUGCAAGUCGAACGGAAAGGCCUGCUUUCCCUUGUGGAUUGCGGGUACUCGAGUGGCGAACGGGUGAGUAACACGUGAGUGAUCUGCCCCCAACUUGGGUAUAAGCCUGGGAAACUGGGUCUAAUUCCCGAUAGGACUGCAGGGUGGUGCCUGUGGUGGAAAACGAUUUUCUAGUGGUUGGGGAUGAGCUCGCGGCCUAUCAGCUUGUUGGUGGGGUAAUGGCCUACCAAGGCGGCGACGGGUAGCCGGCCUGAGAGGGUGGACGGCCACAUUGGGACUGAGAUACGGCCCAGACUCCUACGGGAGGCAGCAGUGGGGAAUAUUGCACAAUGGGCGGAAGCCUGAUGCAGCGACGCCGCGUGGGGGAUGACGGCCUUCGGGUUGUAAACUCCUUUCGACCGCGAGGAAGCCACCUGGUUGGAAGGGUGGUGACGGUAGUGGUAGAAGAAGCACCGGCUAACUACGUG